GACGAACGCUGGCGGCGUGCUUAACACAUGCAAGUCGAACGGAAAGGCCCUGCUUUUGUGGGGUGCUCGAGUGGCGAACGGGUGAGUAACACGUGAGUAACCUGCCCUUGACUUUGGGAUAACUUCAGGAAACUGGGGCUAAUACCGGAUAGGAGCUCCUGCUGCAUGGUGGGGGUUGGAAAGUUUCGGCGGUUGGGGUUGGACUCGCGGCUUAUGAGCUUGUUGGUGGGGUAGUGGCUUACCAAGGCUUUGACGGGUAGCCGGCCUGGGAGGGUGACCGGCGACAAGGGGACUGAGAGACGGACCAGACUCCAACGGGAGGCAGCAGUGGGAAAUAUUGCCCAAUGAGAGGAAGCCUGAGACAGCAGCGCCGCGGGCGGGAUGACGGCCUUCGGGUUGUGAACCGCUUUCGCCUAUGACGAAGCGUGAGUGACGGUAAUGGGUGAAGAAGCACCGGCUAACUACGUG
rnacentral:rRNA from 1 species